rnacentral:rRNA from 1 species
UGAGUAAUGUCUGGGAAACUGCCUGAUGGAGGGGGAGUAACUACUGGAAACGGUAGCUAAUACCGCAUAACGUCGCAAGACCAAAGAGGGGGACCUUCGGGCCUCUUGCCAUCAGAUGUGCCCAGAUGGGAUUAGCUAGUAGGUGGGGUAACGGCUCACCUAGGCGACGAUCCCUAGCUGGUCUGAGAGGAUGACCAGCCACACUGGAACUGAGACACGGUCCAGACUCCUACGGGAGGCAGCAUG